ACGUCGCCGUAUCAAUUUUAAUUAGGAACCUGUAAUAUUUUUCAUUCAUCAUUUUUGUGACUUUGAAUAAAUAUAUUUUUACCUUUUCCUUUACUCGACUUACACCUUUACUUUGAAGUACGUUAGUGUAACCGAUGCUUUCUUUUGGUCAAUACCAUAUUUUUUGUCCUUUUCUGAAGAUGUCGGAUUUUUUACAACAAGUCGAUCUCAUUUCUCCCUGGAAAUGUCGAUGUUGCCCAAAAAAUGUCGAUCUCAUCUUUUUUUUCUGAGGAUGUCGAUGUGACUGCCGAUCCUUUUCUGAAGAUGUCGGAUUUUUGACGACAAGUCGAUCUCAUUUCUCCCUGGAAAUGUCGAUGUUGCCCAAAAAAUGUCGAUCUCAUCUUUUUCUGAGGAUGUCGAUGUGACUGCCGAUCCUUUUCUGAAAAUGUCGGAUUUUUGACGACAAGUCGAUCUCAUUUCUCCCUGGAAAUGUCGAUGUCGCUCAAAAAGUCGAUCUCAUCUUUUUCUGAGGAUGUCGAUGGCUACGGAUCCUUUUCUGAAGACGUCGGAUUUUUUACAACAAGUCGAUCUCAUUUCUCCUUGGAAAUGUCGAUGUUGCCCAAAAAAUGUCGAUCUCAUCUUUUUCUGAGGAUGUCGAUGUGACUGCCGAUCCUUUUCUGAAGAUGUCGGAUUUUUGACGACAAGUCGAUCUCAUUUCUCCCUGGAAAUGUCGAUGUUGCCCAAAAAAUGUCGAUCUCAUCUUUUUCUGAGGAUGUCGAUGUGA
rnacentral:lncRNA from 1 species